rnacentral:rRNA from 1 species
CAAGAGGGGUGCCUAAUACAUGCAAGUCGAGCGGACAGAUGGGAGCUUGCUCCCUGAUGUUAGCGGCGGACGGGUGAGUAACACGUGGGUAACCUGCCUGUAAGACUGGGAUAACUCCGGGAAACCGGGGCUAAUACCGGAUGGUUGUCUGAACCGCAUGGUUCAGACAUAAAAGGUGGCUUCGGCUACCACUUACAGAUGGACCCGCGGCGCAUUAGCUAGUUGGUGAGGUAACGGCUCACCAAGGCGACGAUGCGUAGCCGACCUGAGAGGGUGAUCGGCCACACUGGGACUGAGACACGGCCCAGACUCCUACGGGAGGCAGCAGUAGGGAAUCUUCCGCAAUGGACGAAAGUCUGACGGAGCAACGCCGCGUGAGUGAUGAAGGUUUUCGGAUCGUAAAGCUCUGUUGUUAGGGAAGAACAAGUGCCGUUCAAAUAGGGCGGCACCUUGACGGUACCUAACCAGAAAGCCACGGCUAACUACGUGCCAGCAGCCGCGGUAAUACGUAGGUGGCAAGCGUUGUCCGGAAUUAUUGGGCGUAAAGGGCUCGCAGGCGGUUUCUUAAGUCUGAUGUGAAAGCCCCCGGCUCAACCGGGGAGGGUCAUUGGAAACUGGGGAACUUGAGUGCAGAAGAGGAGAGUGGAAUUCCACGUGUAGCGGUGAAAUGCGUAGAGAUGUGGAGGAACACCAGUGGCGA